UACGUAGGGGGCAAGCGGUUGUCCGGAAUCAUUGGGCGUAAAGAGGCGUGUAGGCGGCCAAACAGGUCCACUGUGAAAACUCGAGGCUCAACCUCGAGAGGUCGGUGGAAACCGUCUGGCUAGAGUCCGGAAGAGGAGAGUGGAAUUCCCGGUGUGAGCGGUGAAAUGACGUAGAUAUGGCGAAGGAACACCCGAUGGCGA
rnacentral:rRNA from 1 species